rnacentral:misc_RNA from 1 species
GUCAUCAUCUACACCGCAUGUUGUCGCUGACGCUUGUCCUAUCGACGGGCGUCGCCCCCCCCCCCUCUGCAGACGCCCAAAGGCGCGACGCAAGAAAAGACGAAUAGAGUCACAGAAGAGAGGGGCCUGACGGACCAGUUGUGAAGUAAGCUGCGAGAGGUGAACAGAGGGUGGUGAGGAGCAGUGGCCCGGAGAGGUAACUAACUGGUUUCUGUCACCUUGCCUCCCGCCAUCGCUGCAACGUCUCUGUUCUGUUUUUCUUUUUUCUGUGCUGACGCGUUCGUGCGGCGGGCUGGUCUUUCUCUCCGGUGUGGGUCUCUUCAAGGAAGAGGCGGGGAGAAAAGAGUGCUGGGGGUCGCACUCUGCAUGACGGGGUGCGUUCGUCCAUGUGGGUGUGUGUCAUGGUCAGGCGCCCAUAUGCUCAUGUGUGUCCGUGUGUCUGUAGUUGCGUGCUCUUGUCGAUUCUCUCUCUUCAUCGGCAAUCGAUCCAGCUUCCUGUGUGGUUCGUUCUUUGCACAGCGAUGCAAGUCGCAACAGCUCUGCAGCGAGCAGACGAAUACCUCCACACUUUAUCCAAGAGUGGUCUUCGCUAUUUUUAACCCCCAGCCCUUUUCGCCUUUCCCGAUCUUCGCUCUGUUGAACAUCUUUUUCUAUGCGCUUCUCCGCUGUUCGCUGCAAG